UGGGGAAUAUUGGACAAUGGGCGAAAGCCUGAUCCAGCCAUGCCGCGUGUGUGAAGAAGGCCUUUUGGUUGUAAAGCACUUUAAGCGAGGAGGAGGCUACUAGUACUAAUACUACUGGAUAGUGGACGUUACUCGCAGAAUAAGCACCGGCUAACUCUGUGCCAGCAGCCGCGGUAAUACAGAGGGUGCGAGCGUUAAUCGGAUUUACUGGGCGUAAAGCGUGCGUAGGCGGCUGAUUAAGUCGGAUGUGAAAUCCCUGAGCUUAACUUAGGAAUUGCAUUCGAUACUGGUCAGCUAGAGUAUGGGAGAGGAUGGUAGAAUUCCAGGUGUAGCGGUGAAAUGCGUAGAGAUCUGGAGGAAUACCGAUGGCGAAGGCAGCCAUCUGGCCUAAUACUGACGCUGAGGUACGAAAGCAUGGGGAGCAAACAGG
rnacentral:rRNA from 1 species